rnacentral:ncRNA from 2 species
GCAAAUGACAUGGGGUGCCCGGUGCGACUCGCGCAGGGCUGAGAGAACACCCAUCGAACCUGAUCUGGGCCAUGCUAGCGAAGGGAUCGUCAUGACCGACAUCG